CCCGGUCAUAAACCCGGAGGAAGGUGGGGAUGACGUCAAGUCAGCAUGGCCUUUAUAUCCUGGGCUACACACACGCUACAAUGGGAAGGGACAAUAGGUUGCGAAGCCGCGAGGCGGAGCCAAUCCAGACAAAACCUUCCCUCAGUUCAGAUUGCAGGCUGCAACUCGCCUGCAUGAAGUUGGAGUUGCUAAGUAAACGCAGGUCAGCCAUACUGCGUUGAAUUACCGGUUCCCGGGCUU
rnacentral:rRNA from 1 species